GACGUAGGGGGCGAGCGUUGUCCGGAUUUAUUGGGCGUAAAGCGCGCGUAGGCGGCCCGUUAAGUCGGAUGUGGAAACCCGUGGCUCAACCACGGGCCUGCAUCCGAUACUGGCGGGCUCGAGGCAGGCAGGGGAGAUCGGAAUUCCUGGUGUAGCGGUGAAAUGCGCAGAUAUCAGGAGGAACACCGGUGGCGAAGGCGGAUCUCUGGGCCUGUCCUGACGCUCAGGCGCGAAAGCUAGGGGAGCAAACAGG
rnacentral:rRNA from 1 species